UACGUAGGGUGCAAGCGUUAAUCGGAAUUACUGGGCGUAAAGCGUGCGCAGGCGGUUAUGUAAGACAGUUGUGAAAUCCCCGGGCUCAACCUGGGAACUGCAUUUGUGACUGCAUCGCUGGAGUGCGGCAGAGGGGGAUGGAAUUCCGCGUGUAGCAGUGAAAUGCGUAGAUAUGCGGAGGAACACCGAUGGCGAAGGCAAUCCCCUGGGCCUGCACUGACGCUCAUGCACGAAAGCGUGGGGAGCGAAACAGGAU
rnacentral:rRNA from 1 species